rnacentral:rRNA from 1 species
ACUCCACAUACGCAUCCUUUGCUGAGGAUACGGUUAACGGAGCGAAAGCGACGUUUAACCGCAAAAGAAGCAGAGGGGGCUUAGUGGUGGGGUGACUGCGUACCUUUUGUAUAAUGGGUCAGCGACUUAUAUUCUGUAGCAAGGUUAACCGCAUAGGGGAGCCGGAGGGAAACCGAGUCUUAAUUGGGCGUUAAGUUGCAGGGUAUAGACCCGAAACCCGGUGAUCUAGCCAUGGGCAGGUUGAAGGUUGGGUAACACUAACUGGAGGACCGAACCGACUAAUGUUGAAAAAUUAGCGGAUGACCUGUGGCUGGGGGUGAAAGGCCAAUCAAACCGGGAGAUAGCUGGUUCUCCCCGAAAGCUAUUUAGGUAGCGCCUCGUGAAUUCAUCUCCGGGGGUAGAGCACUGUUUCGGCCAGGGGGCCAUCCCGGCUUACCAAUCCGAUGCAAACUGCGAAUACCGGAGAAUGUUAUCACGGGAGACACACGGCGGGUGCUAACGUCCGUCGUGAAGAGGGAAACAACCCAGACCGCCAGCUAAGGUCCCAAAGUCAUGGUUAAGUGGGAAACGAUGUGGGAAGGCCCAGACAGCCAGGAUGUUGGCUUAGAAGCAGCCAUCAUUUAAAGAAAGCGUAAUAGCUCACUGGUCGAGUCGGCCUGCGCGGAAGAUGUAACGGGGCUAAACCAUGCACCGAAGCUGCGGCAGCGACACUGAUGUGUUGUUGGGUAGGGGAGCGUUCUGUAAGCCGUUGAAGGUGGCCUGUGAGGGUUGCUGGAGGUAUCAGAAGUGCGAAUGCUGACAUAAGUAACGAUAAAGCGGGUGAAAAGCCCGCUCGCCGGAAGACCAAGGGUUCCUGUCCAACGUUAAUCGGGGCAGGGUGAGUCGACCCCUAAGGCGAGGCCGAAAGGCGUAGUCGAUGGGAAACGGGUUAAUAUUCCCGUACUUGGUGUUACUGCGAAGGGGGGACGGAGAAGGCUAUGUUGGCCGGGCGACGGUUGUCCCGGUUUAAGCGUGUAGGUGUGUGUUCCAGGUAAAUCCGGUUCACUUUAACACUGAGGCGUGACGACGAGGCACCACGGUGCUGAAGCAACAAAUGCCCUGCUUCCAGGAAAAGCCUCUAAGCCUCAGGUAACAUCAAAUCGUACCCCAAACCGACACAGGUGGUCAGGUAGAGAAUACCAAGGCGCUUGAGAGAACUCGGGUGAAGGAACUAGGCAAAAUGGUGCCGUAACUUCGGGAGAAGGCACGCUGACACGUAGGUGAAGUGGUUUACCCAUGGAGCUGAAGUCAGUCGAAGAUACCAGCUGGCUGCAACUGUUUAUUAAAAACACAGCACUGUGCAAACACGAAAGUGGACGUAUACGGUGUGACGCCUGCCCGGUGCCGGAAGGUUAAUUGAUGGGGUCAGCGCAAGCGAAGCUCCUGAUCGAAGCCCCGGUAAACGGCGGCCGUAACUAUAACGGUCCUAAGGUAGCGAAAUUCCUUGUCGGGUAAGUUCCGACCUGCACGAAUGGCGUAAUGAUGGCCAGGCUGUCUCCACCCGGGACUCAGUGAAAUUGAACUCGCUGUGAAGAUGCAGUGUACCCGCGGCAAGACGGAAAGACCCCGUGAACCUUUACUAUAGCUUGACACUGAACACUGGUCCUUGAUGUGCAGGAUAGGUGGGAGGCUUUGAAGUGUGGACGCCAGUCUGCAUGGAGCCAUCCUUGAAAUACCACCCUUUAAUGG